rnacentral:lncRNA from 1 species
GGUGACCUCAGGAUAGUGACAAGCCUACACCGUGUGGUGCUGGCAAAGAAAAUUCCUGGAGAUGAAAACUGACGUGGGGUCCAGGGGUUAAUUUCUGGAACAGACAAAUUUGCAUACAAAUGAAAAAUGAUGGGAUUUCCGUUCUCCUAAAUUUUCAAUGUCAUCAGCAUCAAACAGCAGCCUUGCUCCCUUGCCGUUUGAAGAAUAUUCAUUACUUGAGAAGAAGGGGCACCUUGUUUGGUGUUCAACUCAAUGCAGGUCAAUGACUUAAUUUGUGAAACUUCAUCUGGAGGGAAUAUCCUUACUCUUGAAAGCCAGUGAUGUUUGUGGCACUGGAGACCAUAAGACGGCGAUGAUAAAGUAUUAUUCUGCCAGAGAGAAUGGUAAAGAAGAACCAGCAAGGAUGGCUGGAAUGAAAAAUGAAGUGGAGUUACUGGGACAGAUAGGAGGCAGUUUAUAGACAAAGACGUGAGAGAAGGAAAGCAAGGAACAGAAGAGAAGUUUCAAAAUAUGAAAUCAGCAAUCCACUAAACAUCCAAAAAGACGAAGGCCCUGGACUCAACAACUUUCCCUGAAUGUAAGUGAAAAGAUGCAUGUACUACCAGAAGCUGUGGCUGCCUGAAUUUUGAAACACUUUCAUCAGAACAACUCCAGUUCUGGCUCUGAAAAGACAAUGGGGUCAACUGUUGGAAGAGGGUAGUACUGCUCAUUUCUCCAGAAAAAAAUCUGAUCACACAUUAAAACAUUAUUGUCAAAAUAAGAGCCUGAAAAAGUCGUUCCAUUAAAAUGGAAACACUACAAGAAAAAGUGGCCUUGACUCAAUUGAAGAAGGGUGUGCUGGAGUCCACCUCACCUUCACUCUAAGGAAUCUAUUGCUUCAGCCAUUUGAAAAAUGACUGUUAUAUUCACUACCCAUUUUUUUGUUGUUGUCUUUUUUUAGGGCCACACCCACGGCAUACGGAAGUUCCCAGGCUAGGGGUUGAAUAGGAGCUGCAACUCCCUGCCUAUACCACAGCCACAGCAAGGCCAGAUCUGAGCUGAGUCUUCAACCCUCACCAGAGCCCAUGGCAAUGCCAGAUCCUUAACCCACUGAGCAAGUCCAGGACUGAACCUGUGUCCUCAUGGAUACUAGUUGGCUUAGUUACCCCUGAGUCACAAUGGGAAUUCCACUAUUGAUUUUCUUAUUAACAGUUCAUCCAUUUGUAUUAAGCUCUGUGUAUUUCCAAAGUGGUUUUGCCUAAACUGAGGCAUUUAGAUUAGAUUUUUAAUCUUCAUAUUAUAAAUUUAAAAGGGAAAAAUCUUUAGAACAUUAUUAAAAUCUCAAAGAUAUGAAAACAGCUAGAAGAAAUUCAGUCAAAUUCCCAAGAUGCUAUGUUCUUGGUUUCCCAAAGAUUGAACUUUCAUUUCUUUUGUGGAUUGAGAAUGUGUCAUAAUGACAGAUAUGCCUGGCACACGGUGUUACUCAAUAAAUAUAUGUUAAACUAAACCUAAUAUUCCCAUUAUAAUGAAGUCAAAUAGAAAUAGAUUUUAAUUUUAAAUCUCUCAUGUAAUUACUCUUUUUUAGCUUUUUUUUUUUGUCUUUUUUUUUUUGCCUUUCCUAGGACCGCUCCCACAGCAUAUGGAGGUUCCCAGGCUAGGGGUCUAAUCGGAGCUGGAGCCACCGGCCUACACCAGAGCCACAGCAACACAGGAUCCGAGCCACGUCUGCAACCUACACCACAGCUCACAGCAACACCAGAUCCUUAAUCCACUGAGCAAGGCCAGGGUCGAACCUAUAUCCUCAUGGAUGCUAGUCAGAUUCCUUUCCUCUGAGCCAUGAGGGGAGCUCCAGGAAUAACAAUUCUUAUCUUGUACUGCAUCAGUGGUAUGCUAGUAAAUGUUUAACUUGACCAUUCUCUCCCCUCCCCCCACUCCCCACCCCCCAUAAAAAGGGCCUGGUGUGUAGAUUUUGCCAGUUUCCAUGGUGUAAGUACUCCCACCAUUGACAAUUUCAAGCUUCCAACAUGACAUCACUGAAUACUAGGCUGGUAAGGGCUGUGAAUAAUCGACUCCUAUGAGCUAAUAGAAGCUGAUUCCAGCACACCACUGAAUGACUUUAACUUUAUGGUUUGAUUUCAAGGAAUUGCUCUUCUGUGUUACUAUAAUUUGUGACACUAAGGCUAUCUUAAGAUGUAGUAGUACAGUGGAGAUAUUGAUGCCAGACUGUUGGACCCCUUGUAUGCUGUGAUGCUUCCAUUUCCUGACUGCUGUGGGUGUGGGCGGAUAACCAUUCGUAGCUGUCCCUUCUCUGCCAAAUUGCCCUUGACUGGGAGGUGCCUUACCCAGGAAGUCUACAUACCCACCUUCAACACUGCCUCUCUUAUGAUGGACUAUAGACAGUGACUGUCUGACAGGGGUAAAACACUGGUGUCCUUUUGCCUCAAACUGUGACCAACUCGGUGGUACCAUUUGUGCUCCAGAACUUCUUGUGGGAACAAAACAAGCCAAGACCACAUCCAUUCUUUGUUCCUUCCCCUGCCUUCUCCAGUCUCCCUCAGUCCCAUGGGUCUGGGAAUUUAGAGGUGGAUGUAGGAACAGUCCUCCUUUUUAUUAUAUAGAAUAACCCGCUUGGUGAAUCUCUGCUUCCUGUCUCUGAAACUUUGGGCUCUGUAGUGCUUGAGGUCCUAGUUCUCAGACGAGGAUGCUUCCAUCAGGGAUCGCAGUAAAACCCAAUAAAACUCAGUCACCACUGUCAUUUCACUUUGGGCUCUCCUUAUAACUGAUCAUAAUUAUCAUAAAAAUGUAGGGCUGCUGGUACACAGUAAUAAAGAGGUGUGCCUCUCCUUCCCAUUGUCAUGUGUACUUGUGAAGAGCAAGUACAACAACCACAGCUUGAGAAGGACAUGGAACUAGAGCCCAGAGAUGAGGGCCUGGAUCAAACUACCAGGCAAGCCCCUAGGACCAAUCAGAGUGCUCACUAAAGGAGGCAAGAGUCUAAGGUCGAUGAAAAGGUGGGAGAGGCCAAAUAUUAGUGACUGCCUCAGGGUCAAGUGCUGUAGCCAGGGCAGUAGUUUGUCCCACUAACCAACCUUUUUUAAGUUUUCCUGGAAAUUCUGACCAGAAUCCUGAAGAAGCUGUGCCUAGAUGAAAAUGCUUUUAUCCUAGGCCAUUCCAUUGCCUAAGGCAAAAGAUUUUAUGUUUUCCUCUGCACUGUGGUCUCUGUUUUUUGAUAGACCGCUAACAAUUAUUCAGUCCAAAUUUGGAGUAUGUGAGUGCAUGCAUGAGUGCUUGCACGUGUGUGUCUGUAUGUUUUGAACAUGGUGAUAUUUGCAACCUUGAAAACCAUUCAGUAAUAACCAAGGUUGCUAGAGUAGGUCAUGAAUCAUGCCAGCUGGCUCUCCUGCAGAUUCAUACCAUCCAACCUCAGCUGGGCUCUCAUAUGCUGUGCUGCUCUGUAAUCUCUUUGCCUCUGUUUUUUUCCCUAUUGUAUUUCUCACAGCUGCUCUUCCAUACCCUCUCCCUUCAUCCUGAAUCCAGAAAAAUAUUCCUGUACAUUUCAUACCAGCAGAUGACUCAGAACAUGCUCUAGUGAUUGAAGGUACCCAGUCCCAACUCUAAUGUCUUCAUCCUCAUUUGGCUUUGGGGAUGAUGUUCUCUUGUGGGUCUGUCUUUCCAUUGCUCACUCCUACUCUUUUCUCAUCCUUCAAAUAGGGCUUUCCUGUAGUGCUCUUUGGUUACCAUAACCAUCAUAACAAUAAACCGGGAACAAAACACAUCAACAUCCUCUUAUCUAUUCUGUCAAUUAGGUGUUCACAAGUUUUCUCUUGCAAAUCUGCACUUGAUUAGCAUUGCCUAGCUCAGAACUUCAUUUUCCCCCUUCUAGGCAGCAGUAGCCAUCAAUAUCUCUCUUUUGUAUGUCCAUCAAAAUAAUCUUUCCAAAGCCUAGACUUGAGUCAUUUGUCCUACACAGACUUUCUUUUUGUUUUUACUUUUUAUUGCAAAUAAAUUAUUUUGUAUUUUACUGUGAAUAUAAUAUUUUAUAUUGUGAAAGAUAGCCAUACCAGAAGAAUGUAUAUAAUAUAUAAGUAGAAUUUACAAAAAGAAUAAAAUUAUCACUGCUUAUAAUUCAGCCUAAAAAAUAAGAUAUUAUCUUUGUAUUUAUAAGCCUAUGUUUUAUAAGUUUCUACUCAGUUGAGGCCCCUUCCUCUCCUAAACAUAACUGCUAUCCUGAAUUAUGUUAAUUAUUUCCUUGUUUUCCUUAAAGUUUAUCAUAUAUGUCUAUGUACUAAGCUGUAUAGGGAUUAUACAUGGAUAUAUUUAUAAAAAUAUGAAUCAGCAUUAUUUUGUUUUGCCUUUUUUGUACUUUAUGUAAAAGGAAUCAUAAUGUGUUGCUCUGUGACGUGAUGUUAUGUUUUAAAGAUCCAUUUAUGUUGAUGAUUUAUCAGUAAUUUGUGUUUCACUGUUGCAUAGGACUGUAUUCCUAUGCAACAGCAAAUAUUCAAUUAUAACAUACACCUGAAACUCAUGCAAUGUUAUUUAUCAAUUUUAUCUCAACAAAAAUAAUGCAUUUCAAUUUUUUAAUUCUACUAUUAUUAGAUACUUGGAUUGAUUUUUUGCUACCAAAAAAUGGGUUGCUGUGGACCAGAAGUUUGGGGUUAGUAGAUGCAAACUGUUGCAUUUGGAGUGGAUAAGCAAUGAGAUCCUGCUGUAUAGCACAGGGAAAUAUAUCUAGUCACUUGUGAUGGUACAUGAUGGAGGAUAAUGAGAGAAAAAAAUUAUUUUUCUUUGCUGUACAGCAGAAAUUGACAGAACAUUGUAAAUCAACUGUAAUAGAAAAAAUAAAAAUCUUGAAAAAAAAA